rnacentral:ncRNA from 1 species
AAAAAGUGGAGACAGUGCCCACUAAAAAAACGUGGCGGAAACCGAAAAGCCUAUGAGUAGGUAAUCUU